GAGUUUGAUCCUGGCUCAGGACGAACGCUUGCGGCGUGCCUAAUGUAUGCAAGUCGAGCGGGCGAGGAGGCUUCGGCCUCCGAGCUAGCGGCGAACGGUUGAGUAACACGUAGGCAACCUGCCCCGAAGUCGGGAAUAACGCCUCGAAAGAGGCGCUAAUACCGGAUGUGGACCUGUGUCGCAUGACAGAGUGUCUAAAGCAGCAAUGCGCUUCGGGAUGGGCCUGCGGCCUAUCAGCUAGUUGGUGGGGUCACGGCCUACCAAGGCGACGACGGGUAGCUGGUCUGAGAGGAUGGUCAGCCAGACAGGGACUGAGACACGGCCCUGACUCCUUUGGGGGGCAGCAAUGAGGGAUAUUGCGCAAUGGGGGCAACCCUGACGCAGCGACGCCGCGUGGGUGACGAAGUCCUUCGGGAUGUAAAGCCCUUUUACCGGGGAUGAGAUGGACAGUACCCGGUGAAUAAGCCCCGGCUAACUACGUGCCAGCAGCCGCGGUAAUACGUAGGGGGCGAGCGUUGUCCGGAUUUACUGGGCGUAAAGCGCGUGUAGGCGGCUGGAUAAGUUGGGUGUGAAAGCCCGGGGCUCAACCCCGGGACGCCGCCCAAGACUGUUCGGCUUGAGGACGGAAGAGGGGAGUGGAAUUCCUGGUGUAGCGGUGAAAUGCGUAGAGAUCAGGAGGAACACCCGUGGCGAAGGCGGCUCCCUGGUCCGUCCCUGACGCUGAGACGCGAAAGCGCGGGGAGCGAACGGGAUUAGAUACCCCGGUAGUCCGCGCCGUAAACGAUGGUCACUAGGUGUGCGAGGUAUCGACCCCUCGCGUGCCGGCGCUAACGCAUUAAGUGACCCGCCUGGGGAGUACGGCCGCAAGGUUGAAACUCAAAGGAAUUGACGGGGGCCCGCACAAGCGGUGGAGCAUGGGGAUUAAUUCGUCACUAACCGAAGAACCUUACCCAGGCUUGACAUCCGCUGUAAGUCCGUGAAAGCGGUACCCCUUCCUCGCAAGAGGAAGCAGCGAGACAGGUGUUGCAUGGCUGUCGUCAGCUCGUGUCGUGAGAUGUUGGGUUAAGUCCCGCAACGAGCGCAACCCUCACGCGAUGUUGCCAGCGUCAAGUCGGGCACUCUUCGCGAACUGCCCGGGUAACCGGGAGGAAGGUGGGGAUGACGUCAAGUCGGCAUGGCCCUUACGCCUGGGGCUUCACCCAUGCUACAAUGGGCGCUACAGAGGGAUGCAAGACCGCGAGGUGGAGCCAAUCCCAUAAAAGCGCUCCCAGUUCGGAUUGCAGGCUGCAACUCGCCUGCAUGAAGUCGGAAUCGCUAGUAACCGCCGGUCAGCUAAACGGCGGUGAAUACGUUCCCGGGCCUUGUACACACCGCCCGUCACGUCACCUGAGUCUGCUGCACCCGAGGUCGCUGGCCCAACCGCAAGGAGGGAGGCGCCGAAGGUGUGGCCGGUAAGGGGGACGAAGUCGUAACAAGGUAGCCGUAUCGGAAGGUGCGGCUGGAUCACCUCCUUUCUA
rnacentral:rRNA from 1 species